UGGAAAUUAAACAAUGUUCUUUUUAAUGAAGAAUGGAUAAUUAUAAGAAAUCAAGAAAUUCUUAGAAAAGAAUGAGAACAGAGAUACAGCAUAUCAAAAUCUCAGUAAGAAAGCAAUUACAGAAGGAAAAUUUAUAGCAUUGAGUGCCUACAUUAAACAAUUAGAAUGAGUUUGUUGGGAUAAACACAACUAGUAUGUAUAACUAUAAACCUCUAAUAAAAAUAAAUAAAUAAAUAAACCUUUUCUCUUAAAAAAAAAAUUACAGAGAUCCCAAACAAAUAGGCUUACACUCCACCACAAACAUUUAUAAAAGAAAAAAUAAAUGAAUUCCAAAAUCAGUAGAAGAAAGAAAAUAAUUAAGAGAUAAAAGUAAUGAAUUUGAGAAUAAAAAACUACAUAAGAUCAAUUCAACAAAGAGUUGGUUCUUCUAAAAGAUAAAUAAGACUGAUAUACUUUUAGCCAAAUUAAGAAAAAUAGAGAGAAAGAUGACCCAAAUCAACAAAACUGAAGAUGAAAAAGAAGAUAUCAUCAGAGGUACUUCUGAAAUCCAGAGAAUCAUUUGAAACUAUGUUGAAAAUGUGUACUGAAAUCAACUGAAAUAUCUAGAUAAUAUUGACAAAAUUUCUAGACACAUAUGACUUGCCCAAAAUUGAACCAAGAAAAUACAGAAAACUUUGACAAACCCAUGCAAAGUAAUAAAAUUGAAAUAAUUCUAAGUCUUCCAACCAGGUGCAGUGGCGCACACCUGUAAUUCCAGCCACUCUGGAGGCUUAGACAGGAGUAUUGGUGUUCAAGGCCAUCCUUAGCAAAAAGCAAGGCACUAAUCAACUCUGUGAGACCCUCUCUCUAAAUAAAAUCCAAAAAAAAUAGGACUGGGAAUGUAGCUCAGUGGUCAACAAGAGCCCCUGAGUUCCACCCUUGUGCCUUCUAAAAAAAAAAAAAAAAGCCUUUCAACAAACAAAAAGCCAGGACCAGACAUAUUCUCUUUAAAGAUUUCUACCAAACCUUUAAAGAAGAACUGAACCAAUCUUUCUCAAAUUAUUCCAUAAAAUUGAAAGGGUGGGAACAAUCCUAAAUACAUUCUAUGAAGCCAGUAUAACUCCAAUUCUAAAAUCAGACAAAGACACAUCAGGGAAGGAAAAAAACAGAUCAAUAUCCCUGAUGAACAUAGAUGCAAAAAUCCUUAAUAAAAUACCAGCAAAACUGUGGGGACAAGUGUAUGAAGUACUGCAUACAUGGCAUACGUUAAGGGCAUCUGAGUGGCAAACCACUCCCCUCAUGCUAGGCAUGUGAGCAACAAACCUCUUACCCUGUAGGUACAGCCCUGGGUGUGAGGCCAUGUGGUGCAGUCCUGAUGCUUACUCCAUGGCCCGCUCCUUGAUUGGUCUCUACAAGGACAGUUGGAAAGAAAUUGUAUUGGUGGCUGCCUAUAAUCUGCUUAGCUGCUGCUUGAGUAUAUAUAUGAGAUAACUGCACAAUAAAAUCAGACCUGCUUCCUGCCUGGUCUCUGGAAGUCUUGAAUAGCAACUCUGUAGCCACACUCUACUUUACCCUGUUCCAUGGACCUCCUCACUGGAUGAGAGAGAGCCCAUGUAGCAAACCACAUUCAAAAACACAUUGAGAUAAUAUACCGUGAUCAAGUGUGAGGAAAUGCAAGGUUGGUUCAACAUAUGAAAAUCAAUAAAUGUAAUUUGCCAUAUAAAGAUAACUGUUUAUCUCAAUAAAUGUAGUAAAGGUCUUUGUUAAAAUCAAGCAGCCAUUUAUGUUAAAGACUCUGGAAAAACUAGAGACAGAAGGAACGUACCUCAACAUUUUAAAGUCUGUAUAUGACAAACACAAUGUCAACAUCGAACUGAACGUACAAAAAUGGAAAACAUUUUUUCUAAACUCAGGAAAAGAAAAGGACAUCCACUCUCACUAUUUCUUUUCAAUAUGGUUCUCAAAACUCUAGCCACUGCAAUUAAAUAAGAACAGAAAAUUAAAGUGAUACUAAUCGAAAAAGCAAAAGUCAAUUAUCUCUAUUUGCUGGUAACAUGACUUAUAUCUAGAAACCCCAUAAAACCCACUAGAUUUCUAGAGCUGAUAAAGGAAUUCAGUAAACCAAGAUUCAAGAUCAACAUUCAGAAAUCAAUAGCUUUCUUGUAUUUCAACUGAUUAUGCUGCAAAAGGAAUCAGGAAAACUAUCCCAUUAACAAUAACUUCAAGAAAAAUACUUGGGAAUUAAACUAACCACGGAAGUGAAAGAUCUCUACAAUAAAUAUUAUAAAACACUGAAGAAAAAAAAAUAAAGAAGAGACUAAAAGAUAGAAAGACAUCUCAUAUUCUUGGAUGAACAGAAUUAAUAUUGUUCAAAUGGCCAAUAAAAAAUAUUAUACAGAUUCAAUGUGAUCCCCAUCAAAACCAAUGACAUUCCCCACAUCUCUGAAAUUUAUUUGGAAUAAUAAGAAACUCAAAGUGCCCAAAAUUACCCAGAUCAAGAAGAGAAAUGCAAGAGACAUUGCAAUACCUGAUUUCAAAUUAUACUGCAAAUUUAUAGUAACAAAACCAGCAUGAUAUUAGCAUCAAAAUAGACAUGAAAAUUAAUGGAGUAAAAUAAAAAACACAAAGACAAACUCACGUAAAUACAGGUAUCUGAUAAUAGACAAUAGUGCCAAAAACAUACAUUCAAGAAAAGAUAGGGGGCUGGGGAUGUGGCUCAAGCGGUAAUGCGCUCGCCUGGCAUGCAUUCGGCCCGGGUUCGAUCCUCAGCACCACAUACAAACAAAGAUGUUGUGUCCGCCGAAAACUAGAAAAUAAAUAUUGAAAAAUUCUCUCUCUCUUCUCCCUCUCUCUCUCACACUCUCUCUUUAAAAAAAAAAAGAAAAGAAAAGAAAAGAUAGGCUUUUUAACAAAUUGUGCUUCUAUCUAUAUAUAGGAGAAUGACACUAUAAUCCUAUCUCCCACGUUGCACAAGUUAAAUCAAAGUGGAUUGAAGAUUACUAUCUCUUUUUGCUGAUAACAUGAUCUUAUAUCUAGAAAACCUAUAAAACUUCACUAGAUUUCUAGAGCUGAUAAAUAAAUUCAGCAAAAUAGCAUGAUACAAGAUUAACAUUCAUAAAUCAAGAGCUUUCUUGUACUUAAGAGUGAUUUAUAAUUAAAAUACAAAAAAAAAGAAAAUCAAAAAGCUUUACACCAAAACAAUAACUACAACAACAAAAAUAACCCAAUCAAUAAAUGGGCAAAUGUCCUAGACAAACAUUCCUCAAAAUAAGAGACAUGAAUAGCCAAUAAAUACAUGAAAAAAAUGUUCAAUACUUAUAAGUAUCAGGGAAAUGUAAAUACAAAUUACAUUAAGAUUUCAUCUCAUUCCAUUCAGAAUGACAAUAAUACAUGUAUAUCUAAAAGGAAAAAAUAAAAAUAAAAACAAAAAGGACACAAAUAAUUAUAAAUUCUGGCAAGGGUGUGGGGGAAAGGGUACAUUUGUACAUUGUUGUAGAGCAAAGUAGUAUAACCACUCUGGAAAGCAGUAUGGAAAUUCUUCAAAAAACUAGGAAUGGGACUACCAUAUAACCCUCCUUCCUUACUUUUUGAUAUUUAUUACAAAGAACUAAAAUCAACAUACUAUAAUGACACAGCCACAUCAAUGUUUAUAGCAGCAUAACUAACAAUAGCCAAAUUAUGGGACCAGCCUAGAUGCUCAUCAAUAGAUGAAUGAAUUUUAAAAAUGUGGUAUUAAGAAAAUGUGGAGUUUUACUCUUCCACUAAAAAAAGAAACUAUAUCAUUUACUAGUAGAUGGAUUGAAAUGAAGAACAUUAUGCUAACUGAAAUAAUCCUGAGGAAAAAGUCAAGCAUUGAAUGUUUUGUCUCACAUGCAGAAGCUUGAGCAAAAUAAGAGGGAAAGUAGGGAGGAGAUCAUAUAUUAUAAAUAGAUUGGGAAGAUCAGUUGAGUAGAAGGAUAUUGAGAAUAGGGGAGGAGGAGCAGUAAAGGGGAGAAAAGGCAGACUGAAUUUAACAAACUCACACCAUGUAUAAGUAUAGAUAUAUCAUAGUGAAUUAUACCUGUAAGUAUAUGUAUAAAGCACCAAUCAGAAAUAAAUUAAUAACAAGUGAAAGGAAGAUCAGUAUUUGAGGAAGGAGAAUAGGAAGAGGAAAGGGGGAGGAAUGGAGGCCCCUGGGGACUUAAAUGGAGUAAAUCAAAUUCCAUGUAUGUAUGAUUUUGUCAAAAUGAACUCAACAAUCAUGUGUAACUAUUGUUAUGGUUGGAUGUGAGGUUUUCCCAAAAAGCUCAUGUGUGAGACAAUGAAAGAAGGUUCAGAGGAGAAGUGAUUGGGUUAUGGGAACCUUAAACCAAUCAGUGAAAUAACCUCCCUGAUGGGAUUAGCUGAAUGUUAACUGAAGGCGGGUGGUGUGUAGCUGGAGGAGGUGGGUCAUUGGAGGCAUGCCUUUGGGGUAUAUAUUUUGUAUCUGUUGAAUGGAUUCUCUGUCUCUCCUUUCUGAGCAUCCUGUAAGCCACUUCCCUCUACCACACUCUUCCAUCAUGAUGUUCUUCCUCUCCUCCAGCCCAGAGGAAUGGAGUUGGCUGUGUAUGGACUGAGACCUCUGAAACCAGGAACCCCUAAAUAAACUUUGCCUUCUCUAAAGUUGCUCUUGUUGAGUCUUUUAGUGCAGCAGCAAAAAAAAGCUGACUAAAACAACUAUAAUGUUCUUUUAAAUUGAUAAAUAAAAAUAAUUAAUGGGGGGAUGGAAGAAUGAAAGUUCAUUGUAUCAGACAAAGGUAAAUGAAGGGAAGGGAUUGAGGAAAGGAAUAGGAAAGAAAGUAGAAUGAAUUGGACAUAAUUUUUCUAUAUUCAUAUAUGAAUACACAACCAGCAUAAUUCCACAUCAUGUACAACCACAAGAAUGGGAUAUUAUACUCCAUGUAUAUAUAAUAUGUCAAAAUACAUUCUACUGUCAUGUAUAACUAAAAAAAAACAAAUUAAGAAAAAAUAAAUUUUAAAAAAUAAAAUAUAGUACAGUAGAAGAAUUGCAGUUUAUAACAAUAAAUUGUUGAACAAAUAAAUUGUGAAUAACUCUGCUAAAACUAUAGGCAUACAAUAAUUUCUUCAAGAUCCUGCUUUCAAUAAUUUGGGGUAUGUACUCAGAAAUGAAAUAAUUUUGUAU
rnacentral:lncRNA from 1 species